rnacentral:rRNA from 1 species
CCUAACACAUGCAAGUCGAACGGUAACAGGAAACAGCUUGCUUCCUUGCUGACGAGUGGCGGACGGGUGAGUAAUGUCUGGGAAACUGCCUGAUGGAGGGGGAUAACUACUGGAAACGGUAGCUAAUACCGCAUAACGUCGCAAGACCAAAGAGGGGGACCUUCGGGCCUCUUGCCAUCGGAUGUGCCCAGAUGGGAUUAGCUUGUUGGUGGGGUAACGGCUCACCAAGGCGACGAUCCCUAGCUGGUCUGAGAGGAUGACCAGCCACACUGGAACUGAGACACGGUCCAGACUCCUACGGGAGGCAGCAGUGGGGAAUAUUGCACAAUGGGCGCAAGCCUGAUGCAGCCAUGCCGCGUGUAUGAAGAAGGCCUUCGGGUUGUAAAGACC